rnacentral:rRNA from 1 species
CUUGGUCAUUUAGAGGAAGUAAAAGUCGUAACAAGGUUUCCGUAGGUGAACCUGCGGAAGGAUCAUUAUUGAAAUAAACCUGAUGGGUUGUUGCUGGUUCUCUAGGGAGCAUGUGCACGCCUUCAGGUCUAUCUUGCUUUUUCAUUUACCCCAAUGUAUGUUAAUAGAAUGUUGUGACUAUAAAAUCUAUACAACUUUCAGCAACGGAUCUCUUGGCUCUCGCAUCGAUGAAGAACGCAGCGAAAUGCGAUAAGUAAUGUGAAUUGCAGAAUUCAGUGAAUCAUCGAAUCUUUGAACGCACCUUGCGCUCCUUGGUAUUCCGAGGAGCAUGCCUGUUUGAGUGUCAUUAAUAUAUAUCAACCUUCUCUUUACUGAGUGGUUUGGAUGUGGGGGUUUGCUGGCCCCUUAUAUGAGUUCAGCUCCCCUGAAAUGCAUUAGCAGAACAACCCGUUCGUUGGCGUGAUAACUAUCUACGCUAUUGAAUGUGAGGGACAGUUCAGCUUUCUAACAGUCCUUGGACAACUUAUCAUUUAUGUGACCUCAAAUCAGGUAGGACUACCCGCUGAACUUAAGCAUAUCAAUAAGCGGAGGA